rnacentral:rRNA from 1 species
AUGAAGAGUUUGAUCCUGGCUCAGGAUGAACGCUAGCGGCAGGCCUAAUACAUGCAAGUCGAGGGGCAGCACGGUUUUCGGACUGGUGGCGACCGGCGCACGGGUGCGUAACGCGUAUGCAACUUACCUCUAACAGGAGGAUAGCCUUUCGAAAGGAAGAAUAAUACUCCAUAAUAUUUAUUAGUGGCAUCAUUAAUUUAUUAAAACUACGGUGGUUAGAGAUAGGCAUGCGUCCUAUUAGCUAGUUGGUGAGGUAACAGCUCACCAAGGCGAUGAUAGGUAGGGGGCCUGAGAGGGUUAUCCCCCACACUGGUACUGAGACACGGACCAGACUCCUACGGGAGGCAGCAGUGAGGAAUAUUGGUCAAUGGACGAAAGUCUGAACCAGCCAUGCCGCGUGCAGGAAGACUGCCCUACGGGUUGUAAACUGCUUUUAUAUAGGAAUAAACCCUCGUUCGUGAACGAGGCUGAAGGUACUAUAAGAAUAAGGACCGGCUAACUCCGUGCCAGCAGCCGCGGUAAUACGGAGG